rnacentral:rRNA from 1 species
GAUGAACGCUGGCGGCGUGCCUAAUACAUGCAAGUCGAGCGAACGGACGAGAAGCUUGCUUCUCUGAUGUUAGCGGCGGACGGGUGAGUAACACGUGGAUAACCUACCUAUAAGACUGGGAUAACUUCGGGAAACCGGAGCUAAUACCGGAUAAUAUUUUGAACCGCAUGGUUCAAAAGUGAAAGACGGUCUUGCUGUCACUUAUAGAUGGAUCCGCGCUGCAUUAGCUAGUUGGUAAGGUAACGGCUUACCAAGGCAACGAUGCAUAGCCGACCUGAGAGGGUGAUCGGCCACACUGGAACUGAGACACGGUCCAGACUCCUACGGGAGGCAGCAGUAGGGAAUCUUCCGCAAUGGGCGAAAGCCUGACGGAGCAACGCCGCGUGAGUGAUGAAGGUCUUCGGAUCGUAAAACUCUGUUAUUAGGGAAGAACAUAUGUGUAAGUAACUGUGCACAUCUUGACGGUACCUAAUCAGAAAGCCACGGCUAACUACGUGCCAGCAGCCGCGGUAAUACGUAGGUGGCAAGCGUUAUCCGGAAUUAUUGGGCGUAAAGCGCGCGUAGGCGGUUUUUUAAGUCUGAUGUGAAAGCCCACGGCUCAACCGUGGAGGGUCAUUGGAAACUGGAAAACUUGAGUGCAGAAGAGGAAAGUGGAAUUCCAUGUGUAGCGGUGAAAUGCGCAGAGAUAUGGAGGAACACCAGUGGCGAAGGCGACUUUCUGGUCUGUAACUGACGCUGAUGUGCGAAAGCGUGGGGAUCAAACAGGAUUAGAUACCCUGGUAGUCCACGCCGUAAAGAUGAGUGCUAAGUGUUAGGGGGUUUCCGCCCCUUAGUGCUGCAGCUAACGCAUUAAGCACUCCGCCUGGGGAGUACGACCGCAAGGUUGAAACUCAAAGGAAUUGACGGGGACCCGCACAAGCGGUGGAGCAUGUGGUUUAAUUCGAAGCAACGCGAAGAACCUUACCAAAUCUUGACAUCCUUUGACAACUCUAGAGAUAGAGCCUUCCCCUUCGGGGGGGCAAAGUGACAGGUGGUGCAUGGUUGUCGUCAGCUCGUGUCGUGAGAUGUUGGGUUAAGUCCCGCAACGAGCGCAACCCUUAAGCUUAGUUGCCAUCAUUAAGUUGGGCACUCUAAGUUGACUGCCGGUGACAAACCGGAGGAAGGUGGGGAUGACGUCAAAUCAUCAUGCCCCUUAUGAUUUGGGCUACACACGUGCUACAAUGGACAAUACAAAGGGCAGCGAAACCGCGAGGUCAAGCAAAUCCCAUAAAGUUGUUCUCAGUUCGGAUUGUAGUCUGCAACUCGACUACGUGAAGCUGGAAUCGCUAGUAAUCGUAGAUCAGCAUGCUACGGUGAAUACGUUCCCGGGUCU